AGGCAUAUCAUUCUAGUUAGUGAGAUUGUAAGUCUCCCCUCUGUCAUGGUAUUAUAUGGAAACUUGGCCUUUUUUCCUCCCUUUGGAAGAUGUCUUGGUUCAAGGAUCCAUGCUUGUGAUAAGUGGGUUGAGUGUUCUCCAAAGAAUGACUUAAACAAAAAAAGAACAAAGAAAAAGAAAUACUAACUUCUAACUCAUUAACAAGUAACAUUUAAUUUCAAGUCCUUUACUUUCAAUGCAAUUUAAUUUUUAAGCC
rnacentral:lncRNA from 1 species